UACGUAGGGUGCGAGCGUUGUCCGGAAUUAUUGGGCGUAAAGCGCGCGUAGGCGGUUCGUUAAGUCGGAUGUGAAAAUCCGGGGCUCAACCCCGGACCUGCAUCCGAUACUGGCGGACUGGAGGCAGGCAGGGGAGAUCGGAAUUCCUGGUGUAGCGGUGAAAUGCGCAGAUAUCAGGAGGAACACCGGUGGCGAAGGCGGAUCUCUGGGCCUGUCCUGACGCUCAGGCGCGAAAGCUAGGGGAGCAAACAGG
rnacentral:rRNA from 1 species